GGCUCGUUGGUCUAGGGGUAUGAUUCUCGCUUUGGGUGCGAGAGGUCUGGGUUCAAAUCCCGGACGAGCCC
rnacentral:tRNA from 1 species